AGAGUUUGAUCAUGGCUCAGAACGAACGCUGGCGGCAGGCUUAACACAUGCAAGUCGAACGAUGUAGCAAUACAUAGUGGCGCACGGGUGAGUAACACGUGGGAACGUGCCUUUUAGUUUGGGAUAACCACUGGAAACGGUGGCUAAUACCGGAUACGCCCUUAGGGGGAAAGAUUUAUCGCUAAAAGAUCGGCCCGCGUUAGAUUAGGUAGUUGGUGGGGUAAUGGCCUACCAAGCCUACGAUCUAUAGCUGGUCUGAGAGGAUGACCAGCCACACUGGAACUGAGACACGGUCCAGACUCCUACGGGAGGCAGCAGUGGGGAAUAUUGGACAAUGGGCGAAAGCCUGAUCCAGCCAUGCCGCGUGAAUGAUGAAGGCCUUAGGGUUGUAAAGUUCUUUUGUCAGGGAAGAUAAUGACGGUACCUGAAGAAUAAGCACCGGCUAACUUCGUGCCAGCAGCCGCGGUAAUAC
rnacentral:rRNA from 1 species